ensembl:snRNA U1 U1 spliceosomal RNA
CUAUUUAUCAUGACUGGAACAGCAAGGAGAAGGUUAUUUCACCCAGGGCGAGGCUCAGCCAUUGCACUUUGGCUGUGCUGACCCCUGCGAAUUCCCCAAAUGUGGGAAUCUCGACUGCAUAAUUUCCGGUAGCGGGGGACUGUGUUUGCGGUUAAGGAAGCGGCCCCGUA